rnacentral:rRNA from 1 species
GAUGAACGCUGGCGGCGUGCCUAAUACAUGCAAGUCGAGCGAACAGACGAGGAGCUUGCUCCUCUGACGUUAGCGGCGGACGGGUGAGUAACACGUGGAUAACCUACCUAUAAGACUGGGAUAACUUCGGGAAACCGGAGCUAAUACAGGAUAAUAUAUUGAACCGCAUGGUUCAAUAGUGAAAGACGGUUUUGAUGUCACUUAUAGAUGGAACCGCGCUGCAUUAGCUAGUUGGUAAGGUAACGGCUUACCAAGGCAACGAUGCGUAGCCGACCUGAGAGGGUGAUCGGCCACACUGGAACUGAGACACGGUCCAGACUCCUACGGGAGGCAGCAGUAGGGAAUCUUCCGCAAUGGGCGAAAGCCUGACGGAGCAACGCCGCGUGAGUGAUGAAGGUCUUCGGAUCGUAAAACUCUGUUAGUAGGGAAGAACAAAUGUGUAAGUAACUAUGCACGUCUUGACGGUACCUAAUCAGAAAGCCACGGCUAACUACGUG